GCGCCCUGGGGACUGUGCAGGCGGCCCAGAAUUAUGCCGGGGGUAAAAGGAGGAGGCUGCAAAUGCCCCCCAUGGGGAGGGCAAAGGCUCCUUGCGCCGCCCUUGCAGCGCCUUCCAAGCCGAGAGGAGCUCGGAGCCCGCACCUCGGGACUCGCCUGCCGCUCGCUCCGCGCGUGUGCGUGUGUGUGCGUGUGUCGGGGGGGAGCGUCCUCUGCGGGUAUGCCGUAGCCUGCUGUGUCCGUGCCUGGCUUCUGUCUGAAGGCAUCCUCGAAGUACUGUCUCUGGCCUCCACACGACCCGCGGGCAAGGCAGAAGGGGAACAGCUUACUCUCCGUCCUCCUUCAUGCUCUGAACUUGAAAGAAAAGCGUCGGUGCGGUUUUAUUCUGUGAAGUCGGUGCCUCCAAAAGCAAUGUAUGCUUCCAUCCAAAUAAAUAAAUCCGAGUAAACUCCACUUUCUGAAUUGUGCCUCCCCUUUCCAGGCUGAACUCAAGCGUCUUUUCUAACUUGCGAAAUCCGUCUGUCUCUCUGCCUGCCUAUCUAUCCAUCCGUCUGUCCGUCUGUCUGUCUCUGGGGCUGGGCGUUCUGGGAGAUGCAGCAUUAAUCAAAUCAAUGAGUAUUCAAAUAUGUGUCCAUUCCUUUACCUGUUCCGCCCCCCCUUCCCCCGAUCAGUUUCUUAUUUAAGUAAUGAAACAAAGAAAGGCCGGUCUCCUUCCCGAAUAGCUCGGGCCCCCACGCCAAAACCAAAACACAGGAGUCAAAAUUCAGAGUGUUUCUGUGAAGAAAUAUAUUCGUAUUUAUGUUUAUUUAUACGGUCACAAAGCCUUAAAAAGCUUUCGAGCCGCGCCAGCGAGUAAACCAGAAGUGCCAAGCCCUGUAUUUUGUGAAAAGAGAUAAAAUUCAUCUGCCAUCAGGCGCAUUCGAAAUAGGUUACCGGUUUGUUGCUGGUUCUUUUUUUUCCUUCAAAAAUAAACAUGAUCCGAUUUCUGAAAUGGUUAUGUUU
rnacentral:lncRNA from 1 species